AUCAUUAUUGAUUUUGUAAUGCAAUGCCAAGACCAUCAGUAAGGUUAUGUGAAGUUGGCAGUUCCCAAGGGCUUUAGGCUUGAAGCUGUGGGUCAUACCCCUUCGGAAACUUGGUCCCCAAGAGAAAUGUAUGCUUCUGAAAACCACAGGUGCAUGAAUCGUGUUUAGUAAAUGACUACUAAACUGAAAUCAGGACUUGUCUAUAUCUUGGCUUCUCAAACUUGAAUAUGCUUAUCAUCUGGAUAGCAAAA
rnacentral:lncRNA from 1 species